CUGGUAUCUGGGGACAGUUGGAUACAAAGGCUAGAGAGGAGCUAGAGGAUGGCAUGAGGGGAACAAAGAAAGAGCUUUGUGACUGCAAAGAGAGUUGGAGUUUUGCUAGGCUGAAGCUUCUGUAUUCCUAAAUAGAGAGACUGAGAUACAGAUUAAGAGGAAAAGCAGAAUGGGAACUGAGCAGGAGGAGGCUGAUUUGGGCAGAAGUCAGUGGAUCUAAUUUGAUGUUGAUCCUCUUCCAUAUCACACUGUGAAAAGGAGGAAUCUUUGGACCAAUUUACUGGACACACUUUCCUGGAGAAUUCCUGGGACAGCUCUUCUCCCUGAGCAGAAGCAAUCACUGCAUUGUGGAGAUUCUCCAGGCUUCUCUUUGACCUCCCUUGCACAGAGUUUCAUCACCCCAGCCUGGAGUGGGUGAUGAAGCAGCAUGAGGAACCCUGUAUGUGUCUCCUCUGCUUGCCAGCAUUAGCAUUAGUUUUUGCACUUGCCAGUGUCAUUCAGUGUGUGAUGAGUUCACAGAGCAGAUUAAGAUAAACAAUGGAGGCUAUUAAUGAGAGCCAGGAAGGAUGGUGAGGGGAAAUCACACAUGAAAAAUUGGCUGCUCUUUUUUCCCCCCCACCUUAUCUCUGUUAUAUCUUGUGAUGGUACAAAGAUAUGCAAAG
rnacentral:lncRNA from 1 species